UUUCUUUGCUGGCGACCGGCGCACGGGUGAGUAACACGUAUCCAACCUGCCCUUUACUCGGGGAUAGCCUUUCGAAAGAAAGAUUAAUACCCGAUAGUAUAAUGAUUCCGCAUGGUUUCAUUAUUAAAGGAUUCCGGUAAAGGAUGGGGAUGCGUUCCAUUAGGUUGUUGGUGAGGUAGCGGCUCACCAAGCCUUCGAUGGAUAGGGGUUCUGAGAGGAAGGUCCCCCACAUUGGAACUGAGACACGGUCCAA
rnacentral:rRNA from 1 species